UGGCCCUCAACAUAAUGUAAAUCAAAAUUCAUUAAUAAGCUAAUAUAAGAUAUUACAUUAAUUUGCAUUGUCACGUACAGUGGCAGUACCGCUUUUCAUAUUCGGUUUUUCGAUGGAAAUUUUGCCCCGAUUUUUGUACACACAUUUAUUGUACAGCCGAACAUUGAAUACCACUGCAAAAUAAGUCACCAUAGGGCCUAAAAAAGGUGUAAGUGCCAGCAAGCACUUAGAUAAAAAAAAAAAAAAGGGAGAGCAACACUUAGAUUUUAUAAAGAAAUCACAUGUUUGAGGGCAACAUCCUUGUGGUUCUCCCCUCCAUUUUCGCUCAUCGCCCUAUUUGUAAGUGAUGUUGAUUUAUUUGUGAUUUAUUUUGUAGGGGUGUGAAUGUUUGGGCAUCUAGCGGUUCAAUACAACUCUUGGGGUGACUUUUUGUCUAUUCUAGCUUAUUCUGGUUGUAUGGUGAUGGCCUAAAAACGUAUUUUUAAAAAUGGAUGCCUUUAAUUAAAAAAAAAGUAUAUAUAGUGUAAGUGAUAGGAAAUGUUUGACACCUCAGACAUAUAGGAACAUUUAGGGGUGGUUGUCACGUGACUAUCCCAGGACACGACUCUUCUCAAAAUGGCGGUGUGUCAGGUGAGCUACCUAUUUUGUCAAAUAUUUUGAUUUUUGCUAUUCAAGCUGUUUUUAAAGACAUUCAAUUAUAUUAGAAUGUCUAAUAGUGCAAUUCAACUCUUGCCACUAUUUCCUCAAUUUAUAUCCAACAAGCUAGGAAGAUACUGGACUUUUGCUCUAAAAUUGCAAUGUGACAUGUUAGUGACAUUAGCAAAUAUGCUAAUGAGUCAGUCCGUAAAUGAAGCGCUUUUUAAAAAAAAAUUAUUACCCCGCAAAAUAUCCCCCUUAAUGUUCUUUAAUUGUAUCCUGCGCAAGUAAAAAAUAGCCGAACCGCAUCAUAUAUAGGUUUACAGUAGAUUCUUAAAAUGUAUUCAUAAAUUGGCGUUAAGGUUGACACUGCACAUUUUAGGGGGAGGACUUGCUCUAAUUCACCGAGUGGUGAGAAAACAAUUUUAUAUAUAUUCCAGCCAUUUUAUUAAGCAGCUGUAUUUCUUAUUUUCAUAUCUACAUCUAAAGGUGUAGUUCUAAUGAAACCAGGUUGGGAAUGUUAACAAAAAUACAUGUAACAAUCCAUUUCUAAUAUUACCGUAAUACAGACCGGCUGGGGAGUCAAAAGCCAAGGUUUCCCUGCAAUGCUGCUUCAACAAUCUCCAUGCUAGACCAGACCUGCGUAAAAUGUUACAAGAACAUUCAUUUCCAUUACCGUCUCUUCUUCUCCUAUAUGUGGCAUUUCAGGCCACAUACUGCAAAACUAUAAGUGAGAGUGACAAAAGCCGAGCAGUGGGGACACUCGACCACAUCAACACCGGGGGCCUAAGGUCCAUCUUGGAGGAUGCCGUUUCGCCAGCUUUCGGGGCCACCAUCAUCAUCAUCCUGACCGUGGUCGUGUCCGGGAGCGCGUAUCUCUGCUUUCUAAAGUACGUGUGUACUGGCUGCUGCACACCCAUGCAGGUGGUUCCUACUGAGGACUUGGAGUCCAAUAAAGUGGAAGAGCAAGUGUAGCAAAUAAUAUUGGAAUACUAAUUCCUUAAUGGACGAAGAGAAAAACGCUGCAGUGAGAGAGAAAAACAUGUGACUCUCAGCUGCUGGACUGUCUGAAUUGUAACAACAAAAGUCAUUCAAUUUCCUUUUCAAAAGUCAGUUGCCAGAGGUGGAUUGUUCCAGAACAUUUAUUAUCAUGUGUAAAGUGUACAUUAGAGAAGAGAAAUGUAACGGUAUUGUGCAUACCGACGUUUCAAAAACCUCAUAAUAAUGCCGUGGUAUGUUAACCUGACUCUCGCCAGAUCCUUGUAGUUCGCUGAGCUCCACACAAGGAUCUGGGACUUCUCAAUAGGAGAUAUAUUUCAGAAGGCGGGGCCUUGUAAAAAAAAUCAUUGUAUGUGAUUGGAGAAACCAUUUGUCCGUUAUCUUGAAUGACGUGCUACUUCAACCACUCACAUCCAAAUCAAGCCGUGACGCUGAUGAGAGCGACGCUGGGAAAUCCAAAACAGAACAGCCGACAUAUUGGAUAACGACAGAGCGAAAAGUUUAGAGAACUUUUACUGAAACAACGUAGCAAUGUCAGUUGACGAUCGAUGUCGUUUGUGCAAAGAAAAAAUGCGAAUAGAUGACGUCAUUGGGAACAGCAAAAAAACAUUUCACAAAGUAGCCAAAGAAAAAAGCAUUGUCGAACUUCUAACAGAACUUGGUUUGAAAUUGUUGAAUGUUCGGGAGAGACCGUGUCGAAUAUGCUUACGGGGCUUUCGUUUGAUAGGGAAAGUCGAAGACACCCUGUCUACUUUUAAGAGAUGGCAAAAGACUGAAGAGGAACCGAGUUCUGAACAGUCAUCUCCUUCAGCGACGUCAGAGAGUGCAAAGGUGUCUGUCGCACAUAAACGGGACAGGGUGCCGACUCCAUCAAACUCCAUCUCACCCUUAAAUAAUUAGUAUUCGAUAGAUUCGACAAAACAGUUGCAAUAGCAGAAUCAAUGUUAGCACACGACUCCUCGCUGCGUGCCGCCAUUGUUGUUUGAAUCAAACAGUCACUUCGGCGCUACGUCACAACUAUGAAAUCCUGCCCGGCGAUCCUGAUUGGUUCAUUAUUUUUUGCUAUCUUGAAGGAGUUUGCAUUGCUCUCGAUCCCUUGUGUGGAGCUAAGCGAAAUACAAGGAUCUGGCAAGAGUCAGGUUAGUGACAUGUGCAUCUCUAUCCUCCUUCAAAACCGCACUAAAAGAACACCUCCAGGCAACUACAACCCUAGACUAACACACCCCACAUCCCCGGAUUGUAAAUAAUCAAAUGUAAAUAAUCAAAUAUAUAUGCCGUAUUUUCUGCAUUAAAGGCGCACCUAAAAACCUCCAAUUUCCUCAAACGCUGACAGUGCGCCUUAUAUAUGGACCAAUAUUGAGCCACAACAGGUCUCGCAACUACGCCGACUUCAUUUUCCCCCUUAUACGGCUGCUUACCGUAGAAGAAGAAGCGCUUCUUCUACGGGGGAAAAUGAAGUUGGCGGCUGAUUACCGUAGAAGAAGCGCUUCUUCUACGGGGGAAAAUGAAGUCGGCGGCUGAUUACUGUAGUUGCAAGACCUAAA